AUGGCAUGGAAAGGCGCCGGCUUGGCUUGGGCGAAAGAGCAGGAGCAGGUAGUGCAAGGGAGGAGAAAGCGAGAGGGGGGAAAAGGGAGGUUGGUGUGCCGUGCCGAUGCCAAUCGCCACGCGAGUAAGUGGCAAGUUUGGCCGGGACGCGACGCCACGGUUGCUUGGAGCCUAAGGCCCGAGCGCCAACGCCCAGCCGUCCCGGCCAAGCCACCUUCCAUUUCCGGCCAAGCCUUCGCCGGGUUCGCAUGCCACUGCACGACACGGACAGAGCGAAAAACGGACAGAAAAGAAACUGUGGCGAGGCGUCCACGCGAACGGCGUGCGUGUCCGCUGGCCACUUUUCGCUGGUCACGGGAAAGGGCAUGCAGAAUGGCGGGUGGGAGGGUGGCCCUUUUUCGGGCCCGAUUUAUUCCGUCGUCCUCACGUACGUACACGUCGGCGUUGUGUUGCUUGCCGGGAAGGGACGCGCCGGCCGUCGGCGUCGGCUACGGCUGCACCGCCGGAUGUUUUACUUGCCCCGUUUGUUACUCCAGAAUCCACCCACAUGCGCGCUCUCACUCACUCCCGAGCACGCCUCCUCCUCUCGGGCCGCUCCAGUAUAAAUAUUCCGCUGCCGCCCUGUCCCUGAGCUGUAUAGUCUCCUCCUCCUUGUACCCUCCCCACCUGCGCUGCGCUGUGUGUUUUCUUUCCCCACCUCUCCUCCUCCUACCUCCUACCCUCCCACCUACCUCUCUGCCUCCUCCCCUCAUCCUUCUUCAUUCCCCAAUUGAGUCGACGCCAGGGGAGCCACCUGCGCCGCACCGAGGAUCGUGUCUCCUGGUCUUGCCCCGAUCCAGCAAAUUCGCCCCUUUCUUGCUCUUGCCGCGGCAGAGCAGUCCGAGGAGAGAUUUUCGGAGCCGAGACUCAGAGCUUCCGUCUCCUUCCUCGUUCUCGGAUUGUUCUUGGUUGUUGCCGAGGGUAGUGCAGGCUGCUAGGGUUGGCCGGUUGAUUCUCUGCGCGUGCGGGCGGCGUAUAUACGUGUCAUGA
rnacentral:rRNA from 1 species